GAACGUAAGUGUGUGAGGAUAUUGUUGCGGAGUGACGAGUAUAAUUGUAUCAUAGUUUAUGGAGAAAAACAAUUUAAAAGGGACGUUCAACGCGCUGUCAAAUCAGUCAUAUUUAAACUUGCGCAAUGACGUCGGCAUGUGGUCGCGGAGGAAAACGUAAAUUUUGGGGGGAAUAUUUUAGCAGCAUGGGCGAUAAUUAGAGGUAUCAAUGUUUUAUUUAUGCUAUCGCUAACACACACAGGGCGGUUAUUAGAAUAUGGGCGAUAAUUAUUAGAAUAAUUACGGUAUUGCAAAUACAAUUGCAAAGAAACAAUUGGUUGAGGAGCAGUUUUAUAGCAGAUUUUUGUUGUUGUAUUGCGAUAGCGUAUUGCUAAUGCUAAUCUGUUGAUUGUGUCGCGAGAGAGAGAGAGAGAGAGAGAGAGAGUGUGUGUGUGUGUCUCUCAGUAAAGAUAUCUGUCACACUCUCAUUUCACCUGAGUAAGGUCUCUUAGGGCAUCAUGUUGCCUUAGCCUAGAUCUACAUUUCAACAACUAGUACUAAUUUGUCAUUUUCAUUACAGGAUCAAAGAGAAAUUAAGGUCCUCACAUGGUGCGAAACCAACUUUUUCCAUGUCAAACUUGGACAGCGGCUGUCCAUGACACACAUGACAACAUCAUCUUCUAGUGGCGUAGAGCUCCACUCCACAGAAAAUACUGUAAUAAAGGAACUGGAAGAAGAGCCCUUUCGCUUUGUGGCCUUUAAAAUCAAAGGUGAACAGGUGGAGCUUGUGGACGCCACCAAUGCCACCAGAAUGGUUCCAUUAGAGGAGUGGAACCAAAAAUUCCCAGAUGGCCCUAAUCUUCCCCUAGAGCAGUGCUUCUCAAUUAUUUUCUGUUACGCCCCCCCCUAGCAAGAAGAAAUCUAUUCGCGCCCCCCCCUCCCCACCGUGACUAUCCUAACUUGUCUUGUAAGUUGUAAAAUGUUGCACAUUCGCAAACGUGACAGAAGUAACAAUGAGAGCGCCACUGCCCCCUGCUGUAGUAAACCCGCAAUUACACUUUAUUCUAGUACUGCCAAAAAAAAAGCCUGUUCCCCAGGGUCACGCGCGCCCCCCCAGGAAUAGCAAGGGGGGCGCGCCCCACUAUUUGAGAAGCACUGCCCUAGAGGGGUUUUUGUGGUAUUUUUUUUUUUGUUCUGUUAUUUGUAUUUUGUGUUGUUUGUUCUGUUUAAAAUGUUCUACUAUUAAAGUUUAAAGUUAAAGGCACAAAAUAAUAAUUGUUUAUUUUAUUCAUUUUUAUUAAAUUAUGAUAAUAUAUUUCACCACUUCAUCAACAUCUGCCCCCUAUAGAGACCACCCUCAGAGGCCGGCCUCUUCGACUUGCAACCAGAGAUGCUGGCGUGGCUCCACGACACCAAGUUGGAACACUGACGUUACACGUGAGAGAGAGAGAGAGAGAGAGAGAGGCAACGUCAUCCGCCGAAUUAGGUGACCCAGUUUAUUAUUUUGUUUAUAGCAAAUACAGUCGCAAAUAUAUUGUUUCAAUGUGUAGUUAAUGGUAUUAAUGUAUAGUAUAUGAUUUUAAUCUAUUUUAAUCUAUAGUAUUGGUAUUUUACCCAUGCCUUAUUUCGGGAUAUUUGUAACUUCUGCUGUCUUUAUCUUAGUAUUCUGGAAUACUAUGGUUUAUUUCGAAAAUGUUUCUCAGAUGUCGCAUGUUUUCCCAUUCUAGAUUGAUAGAUAGAAUUUACGGUAGCGUUCUUUGGCCUGCUGUCCAAAGAACAUAGAAAACAAUACGGAAUGCGAUCAUCUCAUGUGCGGUGGCACCACAAAGUAGAUUGCAGAAGUUAACUCAGCAGCAUGGACGCGUUCCAGGCAGUUACUGCGACCGCAAGAGAGUAAGUAUUACUAAAAAGAAGCACACAAGUUUCCAACUUGCCGAGUGGACAGUGAAGCAGAAAAUAGAUUUGUCAAAAAGUGUGAGGAAAAUAUGCACUGUCUGCCGACUCACAUUUUCCAUAGUCCAUGUGGAACUGACUCACCUUAAGCAACACGGUGGACACGAACGAAAAAACGCACAACUAAGCAAGGGGGAACCUGGACAGAUCCAUUAGGCAACGACAAAGAUGGUACGUAAAUAUUUUUUUAAACCCUCUCAAGGUUAAUAUGAGAAUGUACAAUGGAUGUCUAUCGUAUAGAAAAAGCUAUAUUAGCUUUUGGGUGUAAUAAACGACCAGGUAAAUGGAUAGAUAAUACAUAAAAACCAUUUGUUUGCAUACAUUGAUAAAUAAAAGAUCAACAUUAAGUGAAGAAACCAAAGAACUUUUGGUUUAUAGGAAGUUUUUUUUUUUCUAUGGAAGAAACCCAUGCGCCCAAGUGCAAUAUGUAUUUUCGCCAGUAGAGGACGCUAAAAAUAAAUGUUGCACAGCGGAUGAGCUGUCUUCAUCAUUUCUGUCUGUAACAAUUGCACACACAGCCUUACAUUUGUAAUGAGUUUUAAGAGAUGUGCAUAUUUUUUCAUUGGACAUGCAAUGUAAUUCUGUCAACUUUUAAAUAAACUGUUGUUUUAUUUUUAAUGUG